rnacentral:RNase_P_RNA from 1 species
GGAGUAGGGCAGAUGAUCGCCGGCCGCGGGUAAAAAGCGGUCGGAGGAAAGUCCGGGCUCCACAGGGCAAGGUGCUGGGCAACUCCCAGUCUCGGCGACGAGGAGGAAAGCGCAACAGAAAGCAGACCGCCUCUUGCGCUGGCGCAAGGGGUAAGGGUGAAACGGCGAGGUAAGAGCUCACCGGUCCCGGUGGCGACAUCGGGAGCCAGGCAAACCCCACCUGGAGCAAGACCGAAUAGGAGAGCGUUCGAGGGCUGCCCGUCCGAUGCUCUCGGGUUGGUUGCUUGAUCCCGCCGGUAACGGCGGGGCUAGAGGAAUGAUCAUGCCCCGUUCGUCUUCGGACGUUUGGGGAACAGAACCCGGCUUAUGCCCUGCUCCGGUU